rnacentral:rRNA from 1 species
GAUGAACGCUGGCGGCGUGCCUAAUACAUGCAAGUCGAGCGAACGGACGAGAAGCUUGCUUCUCUGAUGUUAGCGGCGGACGGGUGAGUAACACGUGGAUAACCUACCUAUAAGACUGGGAUAACUUCGGGAAACCGGAUCUAAUACCGGAUGAUAUUUUGAACCGCAUGGUUCAAAGGUGAAAGACGGUCUUGCUGUCACUUAUAGAUGGAUCCGCGCUGCAUUAGCUAGUUGGUAAGGUAACGGCUUACCAAGGCAACGAUGCAUAGCCGACCUGAGAGGGUGAUCGGCCACACUGGAACUGAGACACGGUCCAGACUCCUACGGGAGGCAGCAGUAGGGAAUCUUCCGCAAUGGGCGAAAGCCUGACGGAGCAACGCCGCGUGAGUGAUGAAGGUCUUCGGAUCGUAAAACUCUGUUAUUAGGGAAGAACAUAUGUGUAAGUAACUGUGCACAUCUUGACGGUACCUAAUCAGAAAGCCACGGCUAACUACGUG